rnacentral:rRNA from 1 species
CAGUCGCCACGGUAAUGCGUAGGGGGCAAGCGUUAUCCGGAAUUACUGGGUGUAAAGGGAGCGUAGACGGUUAAACAAGUCUGAAGUGAAAUGCCGGGGCUCAACCCCGGAGCUGCUUUGGGAACUGUAGAACUGGAGUGUCGGAGGGGUAAGCGGAAUUCCCAGUGUAGCGGUGAAAUGCGUAGAUAUUGGGAGGAACACCGGCGGCGAAGGCGGCUUACUAGACGACAACUGACGUUGAGGCUCGAAGGCGUGGGUAGCAAACAGGAUUAGAUACCCCCGUAGUCCCUGUCUCUUAUAC